rnacentral:lncRNA from 1 species
GAGUUCAAGAUCUUCAACAACAGCUUCACCGGUACGUUACCUAGGAAUUUCGGAAAAUUCUCCGGUAUAUCUGAAUUCGAUGUCUCCACGAACAAAUUCUCCGGCGAAUUGCCGCCGUAUCUCUGCUACAGAAGAAAGCUUCUGAGGUUAAUCAGCUUCAGAAAUCAAUUGAGCGGGAAAAUUCCGGAAUCUUACGGCGAUUGUAAGUCGCUUACUUACAUUCGUAUGGCGGAUAACAAACUAUCCGGCGAAGUUCCGGUUAGGCUUUGGGAACUUCCUCUUACUCGUCUCGAGCUAGCCAACAACAAUCAAUUAGAAGGUUCGAUUUCUCCUUCGAUAUCCAAUGUUAG